rnacentral:rRNA from 1 species
CCUACGGGUGGCAGCAGUGGGGAAUAUUGCACAAUGGGGGAAACCCUGACGCAGCGACGCCGCGUGAGGGAUGAAGGUUUUCGGAUUGUAAACCUCUAUCAGCAGGGAAGAAAAUGACGGUAUCUAACUAAGAAGCACCGGCUAACUCCGUGCCAGCAGCCGCGGUAAUACGUAGGGGGCAAGCGUUAGUCGGAUUUACUGGGUGUAAAGGGAGCGUAGGCGGGUUAGCAAGUCAGAAGUGAAAGCCUAGGGCUGAACCAUGGAACUGCUUUGGAAACUGUUAAACUGGAGUGUGGGAGAGGUAGGUGGAAUUCCUGGUGUAGGGGUGAAAUCCGUAGAUAUCAGGAGGAACACUAGUGGCGAAGGCGACUUGCUGGAACAUAACUGACGCUGAGGCGCGAAAGCGUGGGGAGCAAACAGGAUUAGAUACCCUUGUAGUC